rfam:Trichobilharzia regenti genome assembly, scaffold: TRE_contig0005881
AUCCAGCUGACGAGUCCCAAAUAGGACGAAAUGCCCAUGCUGGAU